CCUACGGGAGGCAGCAGUGGGGAAUAUUGGACAAUGGGCGAAAGCCUGAUCCAGCCAUGCCGCGUGUGUGAAGAAGGCCUUCGGGUUGUAAAGCACUUUCAGUGGGGAAGAAAGCCUUGGGGCUAAUACCCUCGAGGAAGGACAUCACCCACAGAAGAAGCACCGGCUAACUCCGUGCCAGCAGCCGCGGUAAUACGGAGGGUGCGAGCGUUAAUCGGAAUUACUGGGCGUAAAGCGCGCGUAGGCGGUCUGAUAAGCCGGUUGUGAAAGCCCCGGGCUCAACCUGGGAACGGCAUCCGGAACUGUCAGGCUAGAGUGCAGGAGAGGAAGGUAGAAUUCCCGGUGUAGCGGUGAAAUGCGUAGAGAUCGGGAGGAAUACCAGUGGCGAAGGCGGCCUUCUGGACUGACACUGACGCUGAGGUGCGAAGGCGUGGGUAGCAAACAGGAUUAGCUACCCGAGUAGUC
rnacentral:rRNA from 1 species